AUGGAGAAAGUAUCAUCGUCAGAUUUCAUCAGGGCUCUAGUCACUCUAUGGGCUAUUUGGCAGGCAAUCCACGAAAAUAUAUUUCAAAGUCCAGCGGGUACGCACCUCUUUGUUGAUCGUUUCAUCUCAGAGAUAUCAGCCUCGAGGCCUACGCAACAGAACCAGGUGCGAGCUCCAACGUUGAUUCAGUGCUGGCUUCCUCCGCCACCGGGCCACUGCAAGAUCAAAGUGGAUGGGGCUACAACCAAAUCAGCAAGACGCAAAUCAGUCGGUGUCAUCUGUCGAGCCAUUGAUGGCUCGUUCAUGGGAGCUUCAGCUAUAUGUUUUGAGGGUGUCUCCGACCCAGCGUCUCUUGAAGCCCUAGCUUGCAGGGAGGCUUUGGCUUUAGCAUCUGAUCUAAUGCAAACACAAGUGGUGGUCGCAUCGGACUGCAAGGAAGAGAUCAAGCAAAUGGAGUCUGAAUUUCAAUCUUGUUCUUUUAUUUUUGAACGUAGAACCACAAAUAUCGAGGCACAUAGCCUCGCUAAAUACGCGCUUAGUCUGUCUAUUGGUCGCCAUGUUUGGCUGCUUCAACCUCCAAACUUGAGAUGUAUUCCUCUGAACAUUCUUGAGUAA
rnacentral:rRNA from 1 species